AUGGCGGAUACCCAGUGCAUGCUACGCAAAGACACUGUUGUGUUUAUCCUGGACUGCCGUGAGGCCUUCUGCCUGCUGUUACCCACAGAGAGACUUUAUGUCCACUACCUGUCCUGGGCCACCAGUAUGGAGACCUGGUUGUGCUGCUGCAGAGACCUCCUCUGAGGCCCACUACAUCUAUGCCUUGCUCAGCCACCUCUUUCUUGCCUAAAACCUUAACCAACUGCACUAGCAUGCUCUGACUGAGGGCUCACAGAGGAGGAGUGUCAGUCAUUUCUGGUCUAUGCUGCAGGGGUCUACUCCAAUAUGGGCAACUACAAGUCCUUUGGCGACACCAGGUUUGUUCCCAACCUGCCCAAGGAGAAGCUGGAACAUGUGAUGCUGGGAUGCAAGGCCAUGCAGUAGUGACCAGAAGAAGUGAGGGUCCUCUUGCCGACCUGCGGAGAGCUUGUUUUCUCUGGAGCCCAAGCUUCGGCACCUCUGGCUAGGGAAAGAGGGAAUCACCACCUAUUUCUCUGGGGAUUGCACCAUGGAAGAUGCCAAACUCACUCAAGAUUUUCUGGACCUCCAGAAUCUCAGUGCCUACAACACACAUCUCUUCAAGGAAGUGAAACAGCAAGGGAAGGCCAGUUACCAGGUGCAGCUGGUUUCUGUACUCAGUGCAGACACCCUUCUAGUCUCUGAAGUGACUUCCAAGCUGAAGAGCUACGACUUUCAAGGGAACUAUUUCCAUGUGACCUGGGGGGACUAUGCUCCCAUCCUCCAGAAGGUGGUAGAAUACUUGGCAAAAGUGAAGGCUUACGUGGUGAACAGUUACCAGGAGCAGAUGUUGGCCCAGUAUGUGGAGAGCUACACCUAGGGCUCCAUCAAGGCCCACAAGAGGGGCUCCCACUUCUGGAUCCAGGACAAAGACUCCAUUGUGGAGAGUUACAUCAGGUUCCUUGAGAUCUACCAUGAUCCGUUUGGUUCCCAAGGAGAGUUUGAAGGCUUUUUGCCCAUGGUUAACAAGGCCAUGAGUGCAAAAUUUGAGCAACUGGUAGCAAGUGCAGAACAGCUUCUGAAGGAACUGCCCUGGUCCCUGGCCUUCAAGAAGGGCAAGUUCCUCACCCAAACUUUGGAUGAGGAACUUGGAUGUCCUCACCUUCACAAGCUCUGGCAUUCUUGCUGGCAUCAACAUCCCCAACUAUGAUAACCUGUGGCAAACAGAAGGAUUUAAGAAUGUGUCAUGGGGGAAUGUGCUAGCAGUUACCUAUACCAUGCAGUGGGAAGAAGCUGACAUUUCUGGAGGAGGAGGACAAAGACCUGAAUACCCAUUGGAAGGGGCCCUCCUUCUACCUGCAGGUGGGCGUUCAUGAGCUACUGGUUCAUGGCAGCAGCAAGCUCUGCACAGGAUGAGAAAGGAGUGUUCAGCUUUGCCCCAGAGACAGUGAUCAACCCAGAGACUGGAGAGCAGAUUCAGAGCUGGUAAUGGAGUGGGGAGAUGUGGGACAGCAAAUUCAGCACCAUUGCCUCAAGUUAUGAAGAGUGUUGCACCAGGAGUGUGGGUCUAUACCUGUACCUCAGUCCUCAAGUGCUGGAGAUCUUUGGCUUUGAGGGAGCUGGUGCAGAAGAUGUGAUCUAUGUGAACUGGCUCAAAAUGGUUUGGGCAGGGCUGCUGGCUCUUGAGUUCUAUACCUUAGAGGCCUCCACCUGGUGACAGGCUCACAUUCAGGCUGGCUUUGUGACCUUGAGGAUUUUGCUGGAGGCUGGCAAGGGGCUUGUUACAGUUGCUCUCACCACAGGAUCCAAUGGGCUCCCAGAUGUCCAGAUCUUGAUCCCAACAAGAUCUAGUUGGUGGGCAGGCCCGCCCUGGAGUGGUUCCUAUGGAGGCUACAGGUAAUGCAAUCUGCAGGGGAUGUGGUCAGCUUGUGGGCCCUGUAUGAAGGGUAUGCAUCAGUCACUGACACUCCCCCUGAGUGCUUCCUCACCCUCAGGGAUACAGUGCUGCAGUGCAAGGAAUCCCGGAAGCUCAUUGUACAGCUCAACACUUGUCUGGAAGGUUCAGAAGUGCAGCUUCUUGAGUAUGAGGCCUUAGAAACUGGACUCAUCAGAUCCUUCUCUGAGCACUUCCCAGAGGAUGGGCCUGAGUUGGAGGCAGUUCUCACACAGCUGGCCAUUGCUGAUGUCCAAUUCUGGAAGAGCCCUAGGGAGGCCCAUUCUGUCCAAGCUUGA